rnacentral:piRNA from 1 species
UACAAGAGGGGUUAAAGGAGGUU